UAAUACGGGGGGUGCAAGCGUUAUUCGGAAUUAUUGGGCGUAAAGGGCGCGCAGGCGGCCUCUUAAGUCAGAUGUGAAAGCCCGGGGCUUAACCCCGGAAGUGCAUUUGAAACUAAGGGGCUUGAGUAUGGGAGAGGGAAGUGGAAUUCCUGGUGUAGCGGUGAAAUGCGUAGAUAUCAGGAGGAACACCGGUGGCGAAGGCGACUUCCUGGACCAAUACUGACGCUGAGGCGCGAAGGCGUGGGGAGCAAACAGGAUUAGAUACCCUGGUAGUCCACGCAGUAAACGGUGAACACUAGGUGUAGCGGGUAUUGACCCCUGCUGUGCCGCAGCUAACGCAUUAAGUGUUCCGCCUGGGGAGUACGAUCGCAAGAUUA
rnacentral:rRNA from 1 species